UGAGGUGUCGUCAAGCGGUAAGACGCAAGAUUUUGAAUCUUGUACGCGUAGGUUCGAAUCCUUCCACCUCAG
rnacentral:tRNA from 1 species